ACACUCCUGCGGGAGGCAGCAGUGGGGAAUAUUGGACAAUGGGCGCAAGCCUGAUCCAGCCAUGCCGCGUGAGUGAUGAAGGCCCUAGGGUUGUAAAGCUCUUUCACCGGUGAAGAUAAUGACGGUAACCGGAGAAGAAGCCCCGGCUAACUUCGUGCCAGCAGCCGCGGUAAUACGAAGGGGGCUAGCGUUGUUCGGAUUUACUGGGCGUAAAGCGCACGUAGGCGGACUAUUAAGUCAGGGGUGAAAUCCCGGGGCUCAACCCCGGAACUGCCGUUGAUACUGGUAGUCUUGAGUUCGAGAGAGGGGAGUGGAAUUCCGAGUGUAGAGGUGAAAUUCGUAGAUAUUCGGAGGAACACCAGUGGCGAAGGCGGCUCACUGGCUCGAUACUGACGCUGAGGUGCGAAAGCGUGGGGAGCAAACAGGAUGAGAUACCCCUGUAGUCCCAUG
rnacentral:rRNA from 1 species